GAACACAGGUCAAAACUGUAUUAAUCUGCUAGAGCACAAGUUCUUAACAUUAGGUCCACGGGACCCGUCAAAAUGAAGGGUUCAAAAGUGUUUAAUUUGCGACUAUUGAGAUCGAAAAGCUAGAUUUAUGCAGAAUUUAUUCAAUAAAUUUCUAUUCUUUUUAUCGAGUCAUAUAAAAUAGUUGCUUUCAAUGCUUCGUAAACCUAAUGCUAAAAUAGAUACUGCACACGACAAUGGAACAAAUACGUAUAGAGCAGUGUAGCCUCAACUCUUCACCUUCGGAAGGGUGGGCAUCCUCUUAUCCAACCUUAAUCAGAAGGGUAACAUUACCUUUCGGACAGUUACACGAUUGCAGUUGCACAACUGUCGUUCACAGAAACGUGUGUUUCUGAUACAUUAUUCAGGCGCAAACUGUUUGUAGCAUGGUCACGAGUUCGAAACAAACAGAUGUUCGCAAGAAAUUCGCGUAUCACGUGGAAACCAAGUAUCACAAAGAAAAGAAUAUAUUGAAGCAACGACAGCGACGUAAUAAUAGUCUGCCGUCUCCGAUACACCAUAAUAAAGCAGUCAGUUUCCGGAGGAACGUGAAUUGCGAAAUACGGCGACCGUAACUGCUGUCAGAAUUAUUUAACGUAACAAACAAUUUCGAUUUUAACGACUGUUGGAAGAAUUACCGCAAAUAUGUGUUCACGAGAUGCAAUCCAGAAGACACGAGCCAAACAGAAGUUUUUUCUGUCAGAUACACAGCGGGUUUAGUACAUUACCAUCGAAUACACUUCCGAGUACGAUAGGUACCGCAAUCAUUGUAUGUAGAGGCAUCUGUUAGUGAAAAGAGGGAAAAUAUGUUUCAUCACGUUCAUUGCAAUACAUUACACUGAUUAUAAAAGUACGUGUAUACGUCACAAAGAUCUCCAUGCGCUUUGUAACAAGUUUUUAAAACUUGGUCUAAACUAUUUAAAUCUUUUUAAGACGUUAGAAGAUUUAUUUUAUCUGUGCUGACAUAUACA